GAUAUAAUAAAAAAUGAUAAUAUGUGAUUCGUAAUCAGUAGGUCACAGGUUCGAAUCCUGCUAGGAGCACCA
rnacentral:tRNA from 1 species